rnacentral:rRNA from 1 species
GACGUAGGGCGCAAGCGUUGUCCGGAUUUAUUGGGCGUAAAGCGCGUGUAGGUGGCCAAGUAGGUCCGCUGUGAAAACUUGAGGCUCAACCUCAAGCUGUCGGUGGAAACCCCUUGGCUAGAGUCCGGAAGAGGAGAGUGGAAUUCCUGGUGUAGCGGUGAAAUGCGCAGAUAUCAGGAAGAACACCAAUGGCGAAGGCAGCUCUCUGGGACGGUACUGACACUGAGACGCGAAAGCGUGGGGAGCGAACAGG